GUUGUUCCUGUCGUCCUCUGUCGAGAAGAAUAUCUACGGUCAUUGGCAAGUGGGAUGUGACAGAUGCCUAAGGAUCUUUUCUCAAAAUAUUCUAUGUACAAAUGGCUUGCCAUGAGAGGUGUAGAUGAAGAAUGAAUUUUGAGCUCUUUGCCCUUGGACCUCCGUUGUCAAAUUCAACUCCAUUUUUUGUUUGGCCCUUCAUGCAAUGUGCUUACCUAUGCUCUCUUUGUUGAGGAUGUACUUGAAGUUAUGACGGAUGGAGUUGUUGUGCAUGAAGUUGUAGCCUCACGCAUACAGAGACUAACAAAGGGAGGAAUAUGUGGGCACAUUGACCGGAAACAUU